CCGAGUUUACAACUCCCAAACCCCUGUGAACAUACCUAUACGUUGCCUCGGCGGAUCAGCCCGCGCCCCGUAAAAAGGGACGGCCCGCCCGAGGACCCCUAAACUCUGUUUUUAGUGGAACUUCUGAGUAAAACAAACAAAUAAUCA
rnacentral:misc_RNA from 1 species